GAUCUACAUCUGGACCGUCCAUUUGACUUCACACGGAUCACCAAUUGCUUUCUCUCUCAUUCCUCACACAUCUCACAAAACAACAUCAGAUCUUCUCUCUCUCUUCUCUCUCUCUCUCGGCGAUCUAGGGUUUCAUGAGAGUAUGAGGAUGAGCUUGGUAAGACGAUGCGACGGUGCGACGGUGUUGAGGACCUAACCAUCGCCUCCAACAAUGGUGGCUAGGGUUUCUUACAGAUCUGACGUAUAAUUUUCGGAGAGUUUUGGUAAAUUGGCGACCAUACAUACGAUAUCAGUUGUAAAGUGCACAAGUAUAAUGUCUUAUCCAUGAAUAUUAGACAUGUUUGAGGGGUACACCAAAAAGAAGCUCAUUGUUACCAAGAACCAGGGAUUGGAUGUUAGUUUGAAUUUGGGUUCCUCUUCGUUGGCUGAUGGUUCGAAAUGGACGGAUUGGAUCCUGGCGGUCAUUAUAAACAGCCGAAAGUUAAUUCCUUGGCAAUGUGAGACCUUCUUACUGUUAACUUUUUUUUGUUUUGAUAGGCUUUGUGAUUAUUGUUAAAAUAUGACUGAUUAAGGUUAAAAACUUAAAUGGUAUUUGACGGUUUUUUUCAAGAAUUAAUUAAUAUUUUUGGAUAAAAGAAUAUUAAUCGAUCUACCCUACACUAAACGAUAAAGACAAGGAGGCAAGAUGCUAAACCAUCUCAGUAUUGAGUUAUUUACAACCAAUCAAUUAACAUGGGUGUUUACUUGUACCAAUAAUUGUUUUAAAUGAACCAAUGGGUUGUCGUGCAUCGUAUGUUUUAGUUUUUCUUUUUCUGUUUUUUAUGGACCCAGAAAUUGCAUAAAUAGAAUGUAAUACCAGCAUCUGUAGUAGGCGGUAACAGAUCUGUUUGUUUGUCUUUCUUGAUUUGACAACAUUGGCGAGCUACUUUUGUUUAAUGUUAGGUUAUCAGCACACGGAGAGUAAAAAAACAAUGUUGACUUCCCGAAGUGUGCAAGAUAUUCGAGAAGCUCGUGAAUAUCUUUCUACACUAAGUGACCUCAGUUAAACUCAAAAUUUUGCAGAGAUUGAAAAUGUAGAGGGCCUUGUGAAUUUUGAUGAAAUUCUACAGGAAGCUGAUGGCAUUAUCCUUGCUAGAGGGAAUUUACGGAUUGACCUUCCACCAGAUAAGGUAUUUCUGUUUCAAAAAGCAGUUGUGUACAAAUGUAAUAUGGCUGGGAAACCGGCUGUUGUUACUCCCGACAACUUGAGGCCCACCCGUUCUGAAGCUACUGAUGUUGCUAAUGUUGUUUUAGAUGG